GAUGCAGAUCUACUUAAGUGCAUAGUGUUUAUGUGUAGACCAAGUUUACAACAAAAGUUAAUCUCAAAUUGAACACUCUUUUAUUGCCUAAGACUGGAAUACACUACAGAGCCUUUGCCCAGAUUUUUGUCCUGGUUUUUGGACAAGUUGACACUAGUUGCCAAAAGUCAGAGCCAUUAUGCAGAUUUCAAUUGACAGAUUUAAUGGAAAAUCACUUAGUGUAUGAUUCGUCAUAGACUAUGAUUCCAUCCAGCCUUAGGAUAUCAAAUACAGUAUGUAUGAUAUUUUGUGCCAUUUUAGAACACAUAUUGUUUACAUUUGUCAUGCAUCUCCUAUUAACAAGGCACGUGUUUCUGCAGGAAUUUGCUGUGUCCGGAACAACUUAAAAGUCUGGUGGGCAGCUCGUUUCCAUGGAUGCACCAAAGGCUGUGUUUGUUCUGCUCUUUGUGCUGUGAGGUUUCCGCUGACGUCAGAGUCUCUGGCUGUAAUCUGGAGUGGUCACCAUGGUUGCAGUGUAUUUUUUUUUCUUUUCCUUUUUUUUCCUUCCUUCUCUCUGGGAGUAGUUCCAAGUUAUUGCUUGUCUUUUCCAGGCCUGUUGCUCUCUUUCCUUCACUUGAUCUUUUUUGUUUUGUUUUGUGGCAUUCUGCUGUCUGGAGACUGACUCUGGGUCAGAGCUAUAAUUAGGUAUCUUAGAGAAAAUUUUAACAUGAAAACUGGGGGGUAAAAGAAAACAAAAACAAAAACCCUUUAACACUAAAAAGGGUUAAGACUUCAGAAGUAGAGACAAUCUAAACUAUGUGGAAGCAACCAAAAAAAAAACAAUUAAUAAAAAAUUCAGGCAACAUUUAAUAUCUAAAUUUCAUGAAAUGAAAUUAUGACUGUAUCUCCUCUUUUGUUUGGUUAUUAGUCAAUUGUUCCACACAGAUAAAUAAAAAAGUAAAAUGGCGAAUGAUGAAGAUCCAGUGUGAUUCAUGUUCUGCAUCACUGUCUGGGAGUUUUAUCUUAGACAGACCUUUGAGAACCUUUAGAAAAUAACAGAGACAUUUAAAAGGAACUAUAAACAGUGAAACCAGUGACAUUUGAGAAGUAGUGCAAUGGAGAGGAAUGGCUCAGAUAAGUUAUUGUGUGUAAAACGCUCAUGAAGGCACAUGUGAUAUCGUUUAUUUGUAUAAGUUUUAUGUUUUCAGCUGUUUUGUUUGACCUUUAUUAAGGUCGUAUUUGAAGCACAGCCUUUUAUGGUGCAAAAUCAAAUAUUAAUGCAUAUUUCGGGAAGAGCUGAAUGGCUGUUUAAUUAUUCCAUGUUUUAAUAAGCUUUGUGGAUGGAGUCGCCAUUAAUAACAUUGUGUAAUAGUUCUCGCACAAUACACCCUUUACAUGAGAAGCAUGACAGCUGAAUUAUCAUACAUAAGAUAGGGUAUUCAAUAAAUCUUUGAUCUUUGAGAAUCACUAUGAAUCAGCUUUUUUACUCUUUCUCUUCUUUCCUUUUUCACUUUCUACUUUAACCAUCUUGCUUUGCUUUGCUUUGCUUUAAGUGCUUUUACGGUAAGCAGAAACUGCCCUGCCUGCCUGUUUUGAAAAUGACACAAAGGCCAUGAAAUAUUUUGCCCUUUUCUUUGUUUCUUCAGGUUUCACGAAUGGCAUUCAUUGUGGUGUCACAUGCGCACAUGUGAGCAUUUUGCCUUUUCUGUGGAACUACAAUAAAUGGAAACUCCAGUCCCUCCAAACAAAAUUAUCCAUGGUGGUUAAACUGAAAUCGUCUGAUUUGGGUCCCUUUCUUUUGGAGCUAAUAAUGCCUGAUUAGGGUGAUAUAUGAUAUGCUAACAGAUAUACAGGAGGCCCGAAAGGCUUUUGAAUGUGUAAAAAAUUAUAAAUAAAAAUGUCAUUGCAGUAGAUGCCAAGAUAAUGAAGUGACAUUUUAAAGAAAGAUGCACAAAAGGUUCAAAAUGAUUG
ensembl:lncRNA